CCUACGGGUGGCAGCAGUGGGGAAUCUUGCGCAAUGGCCGAAAGGCUGACGCAGCGACGCCGCGUGCGGGAGGACGCCCUUCGGGGUGUAAACCGCUGUCAGUGGGGAGGAACGGCCGGGGGAGGCAAUGCCCCCGGAUUGACAGUACCCACAGAGGAAGCACCGGCUAACUCCGUGCCAGCAGCCGCGGUAAUACGGAGGGUGCGAGCGUUGUUCGGAAUUAUUGGGCGUAAAGCGCACGUAGGCGGCUUUUUAAGUCUCACUGUGAAAGCCCG
rnacentral:rRNA from 1 species